CUCUCUCUCUCUCUCUCUCUCUCUCUCUCUCUCUCCAUUGGAGCCCAUUCACGUGCUCUUCUUCAACUCCUAUCGGAGCCCAACUCUUGCCGGAGACCCAACCCCGAACCCCAUAUUACUCUCUUCGUCUUCUCUCUUCCUCCCUCUCUCUCUCCGUCAUCCCAAUCUUCAUCAACAGUGGCAACGAUGACUGAAUAGAGCCACUGCAAAUGACGAAUCUAAAGGAAGAAUCUAGUAUAUUUCCAGCAAGAGAGUAAACCAAAAGAAUCUGGUAUACUGUUCAGGUGAAGAAUCUUCUUCUAUAUUUCCAGCAAGUAUAUUUUUUUUUGGGUAUUUCUAUCUUUAAACCAAGUAUAUUUUUCUGAGUUUCUUCUGAAUUUGGUAGUAUUUUUUUGAGGUGUCUAAUUCUCUUUCUUGAGUAUUAAUUUUUUUGGGUGAAGCAAGUAUAUUUCCAGCAGGUUUGUUACUCUAAUUCUUUUUCCAGUAGGCUUGUUUCCAUUAGGCAUUGUGUUUGAUUAAUUAUAUAAUCAAUUUUAUUGAUGAAGGCACAAUCUUGAAUUUAUUUUUGUUGAUUUUUGUCUUAAAGAAAUUUCUGGAAAUUCAACAGCAAUGUAAUAAUGAAUAUUCAACAGUUUGAUUAUUUAGAGUUCAAGUUUGGAACUUUUGAAGUGAGAUUGGUGGCAAUGGCAAUAUGGUAUGUUUGAGAAUAUUCUAGGUAAAAUGAGGAAAUAGGGUCAUGGACUUGUGGUGGUGCACUUAAUUUGAUUAGCUUUUAUGUGAAAUUUUCAUGGGUGAUUGAUUGAGCUGGAAGCACUGAUAAAAUAAAGGCUUUGAUGCUAGAGUGUUGCUGUUAGAUUAGUAGGAGAAUCUGAAUCGUUUUUAAACAACAAUGAUGCAAAUCUUUUUUCAUCGAGAAGACGAAAGUUUUCCAUUAACAAAUUAAUACAUUGACAUGAAUAUAUACAGAUUACACGGAAAUUUAUUGACCCCUUGAUUAAAAAACUACCCAAAUAAUUGAAGGUAUAUUUGAAGUUUGUGAUUAUAUUUGUGUACAAGCGUAAUGACCACUGAACACCCAUUUGAAUGGUUCAUGGUGACAUGCAUUACUGAUGCAUGAUCCUCAUCUUUCUUUUUUGGGACUUCAGUAACAUUAUUUAAACUUCGUGGCUGUUGAGAGUUACACUAUGUAAUAUGUUCUUUUGAUCAGUUAUUAUUUUUUAUUUUAUUUUCAGGAAAGAUCAGUUUUUGUUUGGGUGAUUAGCAAUGCAUAUAAGGUGUUUGAAAAAAUGCAUGUGAGAGAUAGAAAUUGGUAGUGGUGGCUAUUGGGGUGGUGGGUUUUAACUGGUUCUGGAAGGAUUCAAACUUUUUCCUCACAGCUCUUCAUACCCUUUGGCUGAAUCCUCUCAUCUUUUCCAUAUCUUUACCUAUCAACUCUUACCAACCCACCUACUGCACUUUACCUAUCACUGUGAAAGAAGGAAGAAGGAAGGAAGAACAAAGUUCUAAAGGAAGAUCAAAGCUUUGAAGGAAGAACAAAGCUCUCUGCAUUCCUUUUCAUUUUUUCUCCACCAUCACCAAGUGACUGAUCUGUAUUAGAAACGCUGGGUUAUGUUGCUUCUUUUUAUGUGUGUAGUUGGUUGGCUCUCAUUCUAAACUAGAUGAUUAAUUAUUAUUUUUUUUAGUUAGAUAGGAUGAUUAUUCUUUUGUACCAAAAUAUUCAUUCACCUUUUCUUGAAGGUAUUGAAAUUUGUUAAAGUGAAAAGGUUACCAGUUAUGAUACUAAUUUAGUAACAUCCUUUUAUUGAAGGUUUGCUAUACAUGUGUCAUUUUGACGUGGAUUGAAUUCUAAAAUUUGCUGUUUGGACUUAAAUUUUAGCAAAUAUUUUUAGAUGCUAUUCUUUGCUUAUGCUACACUGUAAUAUAAAAUUCAUUAUUUGGACUUUAAUUUUGAAGUUUGUUAUUUGAAAUUUAUGAAUGUUUUUGCCAAUUUACUGUGUAGAAACAAUUUCAACUUCUUAUUUGUAAAGUAUUAAACUGGAGUGAUAUAUCAUUUUAAAUUGAUUUAUUACAAUUGAAUUCCGUAGCACGUGUGGUACUAAAAACAUUAUUGACCGUGCCUUAUCCCUAGUUAUAUAAUAUGGCUAGCUGUGUUUGAUUAGACAGACUGGAUAAGGGGAAUUAGA